UGCGAGAGCCUGUCUCAAAAGAAAAAAUGUUUUUAAAUAAAAACAGGCUGAAAGAAAAGAUUGAGGUAGAAGGUAGUCUCCCAGCGCAUGCAGCAGAAAGACAAAGUAUUUGGUAAACUCUUAGGUACAUAAAGGGUGUCUAAGGGAACGUGCGGACACGGAUUACUCUGGACUCACUGCUGGCUGCACACCCCCUGGCCAGCCAUGUGGCCUCCGUGGGUUCUGAACAUGUUGAUGGUGCCGGGGCUGAAGUGGAAAUGGAAUGAGUUCUAGGGCAUCUGUCUCUUAGAUACAUUUUAAUGUUUGCUGUGUUUUUUCUGUAUUGCUCUGUUAGAGUAAUAAGAUAUGUGAUGGUGUUUCUGGCCUCAGGUGCGGAUUGAUGAGUACAAUUACUCCAAGCCCAUCCAGGGCCAACAGAAGAAGCCCUUUGAGGAGCACUGGAGGAAGCACACCCUGUCCUACGUGGACGUCAGCACUGGGAAGUGCAUAGCCAGAGAAUAACACAUCACGCAGAGGAAACAGUUGUGCUUAUGUGAUGGGGCCUCAGCACUAGGAACAAGUGGACUGUUGGCACAUGCAGCAGCUUGAAUAAAUCUGAAAGUCACUAUGCUGCGUAAGAGAAGCCAAAUAAAAAAGUGCACGCUGUGUACAGAGGGUGUCGAGAAUGCCUCCUGUGUGACGGAAAGCAGAUCCGUGGUCCCUGCAGACUGGCAGGAGCAGAUUCCAAAGGCACAGGAAGAAGCUUGCAGGUAGAAUGUGUUCAUUACCUUCUGUGCAUUACACCAAAAAAAAGCUGGUAAUAAAAAUGCUAACCAAAAAUUGGUGAAACUAGGAUGAAAUUUCUUACCUGUGUGAUUGGUAAACGUGCAGGUUUGCCAUCAUGCUUUGUUUGUGAAGCUGUGGGGUACAAGGGCUCUUAUACCUCACUGUGGAAUGCAGAACGGUGCAGCCUCGUGGAAGAGGAUUUGGCAGCGUCUAACGAAAGUAUGUAGCAUUUGCCGUUUGACUCAGCAAUUCUGGAAUCUGCCUCAAAAAAACUCUGGCAAAGAAAUGAAAGGACUUUACGCACAGAGUUCUUUUCACAGUCUGAAUGUGUUUACAACAAACUUCUUCACUGUGGCGUUUGUAAACGUAGGGAAAAGAAAGAGAGAUCAAACUGUUACUGUGUCUAUGUAGAAAAGGAAGACAUAAGAACUCCAUUCUGAUCUGUACCCUGAACAAUUGUUUUGCCCUGAGAUGCUGUUAUUCUGUAACUUUGCCCCAACCUUGAGCUCACAGGAACAUGUGUUGUAUGGAAUCAAGGUUUAAGGAUCUAGGGCUGUGCAGGCUGUGCCUUGUGAACAAUAUGUUUACAGGCAGUGUGCUUGGGAAAAGUCAUCGCCAUUCUCCAUUCUCGAUAAACCGGGGGCACAAUGCACUGCGGAAAGCUGCAGGGCCCUCUGCCCUGGAAAGCUGGGUAACGUCCACGGCUUCUCCCCACUGAGAUAGCCUGCGAUGUGGCCUCGUGGGAUGGGAAAGGCCUGACCGUCCCCCAACCUGACACCCGUGGAGGGUCUGUGCUGAGGAGGAUUAGUAAAAGAGGAAGGCCACUGUCUCCUGCCUGCCUCUGGGAACGGAAUGUCUUGGUAUAAAACCUGAUUGUACAUCUGUUCAGUUCUGAGAUAAAAAAACCACCCUGUGGCGGGAGGUGAGACGUGUUGGCAGCAGUGCUGCUCUGUUACUCUUUACUCCACUGAGAUACUUGGGUGGAGAGAAGCAUAAAUCUGGCCUAUGUGCACAUCCAGGCAUAGUACCUUCCCUUGAACUUACUUGUGACACAGAUUCCUUUGCUCACAUGUUUUCUUGCUAACCUUCUCCCCACUGUCACCCUGCUCUCCUGCCGCAUUCCUCUUGCUGAGAUAGUGAAAAUAGUAAUCAGUAAAUACUGAGGGAACUCAGAGACCGGGGCCGGUGCGGGUCCUCCGUACGCUGAGUGCCGGUCCCCUGGGCUCACUGUUCUUUCUCUAUACUUUG